rnacentral:rRNA from 1 species
GAAUCCCGUCUUUGGCAUGGAUGACCGGGGCUUUUGUGAUGCGCUCUCGAAGAGUCGAGUUGUUUGGGAAUGCAGCUCAAAAUGGGUGGUGAACUCCAUCUAAAGCUAAAUAUUGGCGAGAGACCGAUAGCGAACAAGUACCGUGAGGGAAAGAUGAAAAGCACUUUGGAAAGAGAGUGAAACAGUACGUGAAAUUGUUGAAAGGGAAACGCUUGAAGUCAGUCGCGUCGGCCGAGACUCAGCCUUGCCUCGGCUUGGUGUACUUCUUGACCGACGGGUCAGCAUCAAUUUUGCCCCUUGGAUAAUGGCGAGGGAAAUGUGACACCUUUAUAGGUGUGUUAUAGUCUCUCGUCGCAUGCAAGGGUCGGGAUUGAGGAACUCAGCACGCGCCUUCGGGCGUCGGGGCCCUGCCCACGAUACGUGCUUAGGAUGUUGGCGUAAUGGCUUUAAACGACCCGUCUUGAAACACGGACCAAGGAGUCUAACAUGCCCGCGAGUGUUCGGGUGGAAAACCCGUGCGCGCAAUGAAAGUGAAAGUUGGGACCUCUGUCGCGGAGGGCACCGACGCCCGGACCAGAGCUUCUGCGACGGAUCUGCGGUGGAGCGUGUAUGUUAGGACCCGAAAGAUGGUGAACUAUGCCUGAAUAGGGUGAAGCCAGAGGAAACUCUGGUGGAGGCUCGUAGCGAUUCUGACGUGCAAAUCGAUCGUCAAAUUUGGGUAUAGGGGCGAAAGACUAAUCGAACCAUCUAGUAGCUGGUUCCUGCC